UGGGGAAUUUUGCGCAAUGGGGGCAACCCUGACGCAGCAACGCCGCGUGCGGGACGACGGCCUUCGGGUUGUAAACCGCUUUCAGCAGGGAAGAUUAUGACGGUACCUGCAGAAGAAGCCCCGGCUAACUACGUGCCAGCAGCCGCGGUAAUACGUAGGGGGCGAGCGUUAUCCGGAUUCAUUGGGCGUAAAGCGCGCGUAGGCGGCGCGGCAAGCAGGAUCUCCAAUCUGGGGGCUCAACCUUCAGCCGGAUCCUGAACUGCCGCGCUCGAGUUCGGUAGGGGAGGACGGAAUUCCCGGUGUAGCGGUGGAAUGCGCAGAUAUCGGGAGGAACACCGAUGGCGAAGGCAGUCCUCUGGGCCGACACUGACGCUGAGGUGCGAA
rnacentral:rRNA from 1 species